AAGAGGUGAAUCAGGAGCCAAACAUGCUGACAAACGAGAGGGUAUGCGGUGCAGUUUUUAGAUAUGAUAAGGAGGACGGAGAGAGGGUGGAACUCAUGUUCUUUGAAAGAACAUGGCUUAUUUUUCAAGAGAAGUAGUAUGGUUCUGGAAGCAGCUAUGAAGACACCAACCACAGCUACGGAUCUUGAAGUACAUAAGGUUUAGGAAUCUUGCCAUAAGUCCCGUGAGAGACUUUGCGUCACUUCUCAUUGGUUAGAAUUACCUCAAAUUCCCAGAACUUCGUCAAAUGACUAAAUCAACUGAUGGCAAGGACAGUGGGACCAAAUCAACUGAUGGUUAACAACAAACAAAAAGAAGCUCCAAUCUCAUCCUUUGAAACAGAUAACUGAACAUUGUACUUGCUUCUCCUGCUCAGUCAUAAAAUAGUUCAAUCAUUUAUUUACCAGUAAUCUGAUGAACUCCUGUUCUGUGGAAGGUUUUGCAGGCAAAUAAGGAAGGAUAAAAUUAAGAUUCCUGCUCUUACUACUUUACAACUUAGUUUAGAUGAAAAAUUAAAUAACCACAAAAGAUAUGAAUAGCGGUUUUACAUAAUUGUGCCAAGAUGGCACAGGCUAGGUGACAAUUAAUGGCUAAAUGACAGUAAGUACUGUGUCAGGUCAGAGGAG